rnacentral:misc_RNA from 1 species
UCCUUGGCUGACGUGAUGGUUACUUCGACCUCAUAGCGAGAACCCAUUUUGGAGGAUAAAUGUGAAGAUGAAGUAAAUAAGAAGGGCGAAAUACUCAGACUCGGUGUUUUGCCGGCGAUUUUAAGCUCUAGUGUUACCUCUUUAAAUAGGUUGCAGUCUUGCAGAAUGGUCCUUACUGGGGUUGUUUUAUCUAAAAGAAGGAGAUGAAGCAGCGUGAUACGAUUUCUUUACCAUUUUAUCCCUAGUUCCGAGACUUUUGAAUUUUGAUUUGACGAUAAGUUAAGGGCCUUUUGGACAAGAUA